AACGAACGCUGGCGGCAUGCCUAACACAUGCAAGUCGAACGAGACCUUCGGGUCUAUUGGCGCACGGGUGCGUAACGCGUGGGAACCUGCCCUUAGGUUCGGAAUAACUCCCCGAAAGGGGUGCUAAUACCGGAUAAUGUCUUCGGACCAAAGAUUUAUCGCCUUUGGAUGGGCCCUCGUUGGAUUAGCUAGUUGGUAGGGUAAAAGCCUACCAAGGCGACGAUCCAUAGCUGGUCUGAGAGGAUGAUCAGCCACACUGGGACUGAGACACGGCCCAGACUCCUACGGGAGGCAGCAGUGGGGGAUAUUGGACAAUGGGCGAAAGCCUGAUCCAGCAAUGCCGCGUGAGUGAUGAAGGCCGUAGGGUUGUAAAGCUCUUUUACCCGGGAUGAUAAUGACAGUACCGGGAGAAUAAGCCCCGGCUAACUACGUG
rnacentral:rRNA from 1 species